rnacentral:rRNA from 1 species
GCUUAACCGGAGAAGUGCAUCGGAAACUGGGAGACUUGAGUGCAGAAGAGGACAGUGGAACUCCAUGUGUAGCGGUGGAAUGCGUAGAUAUAUGGAAGAACACCAGUGGCGAAGGCGGCUGUCUAGUCUGUAACUGACGCUGAGGCUCGAAAGCAUGGGUAGCGAACAGGAUUAGAUACCCUGGUAGUCCAUGCCGUAAACGAUGAGUGCUAAGUGUUGGAGGGUUUCCGCCCUUCAGUGCUGCAGCUAACGCAUUAAGCACUCCGCCUGGGGAGUACGACCGCAAGGUUGAAACUCAAAGGAAUUGACGGGGGCCCGCACAAGCGGUGGAGCAUGUGGUUUAAUUCGAAGCUACGCGAAGAACCUUACCAGGUCUUGACAUCUUCUGCCAAUCUUAGAGAUAAGACGUUCCCUUCGGGGACAGAAUGACAGGUGGUGCAUGGUUGUCGUCAGCUCGUGUCGUGAGAUGUUGGGUUAAGUCCCGCAACGAGCGCAACCCUUAUUAUCAGUUGCCAGCAUUCAGUUGGGCACUCUGGUGAGACUGCCGGUGACAAACCGGAGGAAGGUGGGGAUGACGUCAAAUCAUCAUGCCCCUUAUGACCUGGGGCUACACACGUGCUACAAUGGACGGUACAACG